rnacentral:rRNA from 1 species
GAUACUCUCUGGCUUGCUGGAGAGGAAGUGGCGCACGGGUGCGUAACGCGUAUGCAACCUACCUUAAUCAGGGGGAUAGCCCGAAGAAAUUCGGAUUAACACCGCAUAAAAUCACAGUACAGCAUUGUACAAUGAUCAAAUAUUUAUAGGAUUAAGAUGGGCAUGCGUGACAUUAGUUAGUUGGCGGGGUAACGGCCCACCAAGACCACGAUGUCUAGGGGAUCUGAGAGGAUGACCCCCCACACUGGUACUGAGACACGGACCAGACUCCUACGGGAGGCAGCAGUAAGGAAUAUUGGUCAAUGGAGGCAACUCUGAACCAGCCAUGCCGCGUGCAGGAAGACAGCCCUCUGGGUCGUAAACUGCUUUUAUUCGGGAAUAAACCUAUCUACGUGUAGAUAGCUGAAUGUACCGAAGGAAUAAGGAUCGGCUAACUCCGUGCCAGCAGCCGCGGUAAUACGGAGGAUCCAAGCGUUAUCCGGAUUUAUUGGGUUUAAAGGGUGCGUAGGCGGCUUUUUAAGUCAGGGGUGAAAGACGGUAGCUCAACUAUCGCAGUGCCCUUGAUACUGAAGAGCUUGAAUGGACUAGAGGUAGGCGGAAUGUGACAAGUAGCGGUGAAAUGCAUAGAUAUGUCACAGAACACCGAUUGCGAAGGCAGCUUACUAUGGUUUUAUUGACGCUGAGGCACGAAAGCGUGGGGAUCAAACAGGAUUAGAUACCCUGGUAGUCCACGCCCUAAACGAUGAAUACUCGCUGUUAGCGAUACACAGUUAGCGGCUAAGCGAAAGCGUUAAGUAUUCCACCUGGGG